UGGAUCAGUUUCAAAUUUCGAUUUAUGAUUUUCUCUCCUCUUUUUCUGCUUAUUGUUAUGUUAUUCUUUCUUUUCCUUUUUGCAGCUACACUUUACAAGGCAAUAUUGAACAUCUCUUAGAACAAUAGUUUUCAACAAUUAAAAAACUAAAGUUAAUAGUUAGAAAAUUCAAUUUUUGCUUGGAUAUUUGUUUGCUGGUGUGCACAUUCAACAAGUUGAAGAGAGCACUUAGAUGGAAAAGAAAAUAUGAAGACUAUUUGGAGAAAUGUAGUUGUCAAAUACAAUACGGCGAAAUAGCAGUAGAUAUUAUUGGCUUUAAAGUUUGGGAUAAUGGGAAGCCAUAUAAACAAGUUGUAUAGUUGAAAUACCAUUGUUCAUUCGUCUUUCCUGGUAUUGUGUUGGACGUGUAAAGGCAUUGAAACUGUACAUGGGGGUCAUGUUGAAACAGAUAUAUGUGAAUGUGUAUAUAUGUUUGGGUCUGAUCAGGAACUUCUUUAUGAUUUGUUAUUGGAUGUCCUAAUAAAGAUUUGGAAGGCUCGGGUGCGAAUGACAGGCGCAUAUCAGAUACAUUUGGAGCUGAAAAGGUUGCUGAAUUUCUUGAAAAGCAUGAUCUUGAUCUUAUUUGCAGAGCUCACCAGGGAAAGUUCAUGUGUUCGUCGAUCUCACAUAAGCAUGAUCAGUUAGAUGUUAGUACUUAUGAAUUCAGGUUCAAACAAGUGGAAGAAAGCAAUACAAUUAGUGGUUCUUGGAACAAUUUGGAGCAUUUGGAAAAAAUGAAACCACCUCAUCUUUAAAUAUUAAGUCUUCCUCUAUCGAGAUACUUACAAGAGAAAGCCAGUUGACAUAAGGCCGCUCAGAAAAUGGAUAUACAAAGGCAAGAAGGAAAAGAUUUGCUAUCAGUCACAUCAUCAAAGAUUGAGGAACAAGCUGCAAUGACAAAAGUGGGAGUUGAGUUGGCCUAAAAGGCUGCGGAAUUGAAAAUAGAAGAAGUUGCAGCCCAGUUGAACGAGCAACACCGACUGAAAGAGAAGGCCAAGGCAGACAAGGUGUUACAUGUUAGAAAGAAAGAAGCAAAGUGCUAAAAAGGUCCAAAUGAGCACUACGUUGCAGCCACGCACGGAAACUGACUAAAAGGAAAAGGUAUCUUAUGAAGGAAAGAAAAAGGGAGGUGAUGGAAGCAUAAAUGGAGAGGAACAUGCCACAGUCCAAAAAGUUUAAAUGAGGCUUCUUUCGGAAUUUAAAGGAUCUUUGAAAUUAAUUGUGUCUGGCUUAUUUUGGGCAGAAAGAGAAACAUUAGAGUGCAAAAACAAAAGUGGCGUCGUCAAUUGAUCAUUGAAUCUGUUGGUUUCAACAUCAAAAGUACUCAUUGUGCUACUAAUUAUUACGUUUGGCAAUCAAAGCCGCACAAGGUCAACCCACUAUUACAACGCCGUUCAGAAAAAAAAAACCAUUAUUACAACAAGGAUCCAUAGAGAACACUACUCGAUCCCCACAUUAAGUUCACGCAAAGAAAUUUAGACCAGAUAGGACUACACAAGCUGCAGAGAAAUAGCAUUUGUUUCAAAAUGUGUGGGAUCAAUGAACAAUAUCUAAGUGGUGUGACAUAGUGGGUGGGUUUGAUGAAUUGGAUAACGGGUGUUACCUAAAGCUUUCUAAUCUCCAAGUCCAUCGACCAGGUUAUGAAAAAGGUGGCUUUCUGAAUUUUUAUACGCAAGUACGCAUUAAAACAGUGGUUCUGAUCUCGACUCUACAAACAGCUGAAAAGCUUGAAACAUUUUGGCUUAGAGAAUUAUGGAAGAGGGAGAGAUGCUCAAUGGGAUCAUGUUCAGAGGACUCUACACGGGCUUCAAGCGCCCAAUACAUCAAUCCUUUUAACGAGAAGAGCUAAUCACUGAACAUACCAACAAACAUGCUGAAGUUGCAAGAGGCAGCGCGAGGGACUUACACUAAACAACCACAUUGAGUUGAGUCAAUGGUUAGGAAUACUUGAUCAACAUCGAAUUGCACUUGGUAAAUAUAUUUUUUGAGACUCUUAUGUGCAGCAUCUAGAUUGAAAGAGGCUAGAGGCUUAGCCUUUAAGUUCAUCAUUGGCAAGACGAACAAUGCAUCAAAAUUGGCGGAGCUUAUGAAAGAAGUGGACUAAUAUGACUUUUUAAUUUUUUUAAACAGAGUUGUAUUGCCAUACUUGAUAUGACAAUAGAUGGAUCUAUAGUCAAGUCCAUUUUUUUUUUCUGAAACAAAUGAGAAAAUAAAUUUCCCAUGAAAUCAAUUAAAAUUUACCCAUGCCGUGCAACGCACGGGUCUUAAGCCCUCGUA